rnacentral:rRNA from 1 species
GAUGAACGCUGGCGGCGUGCUUAACACAUGCAAGUCGAACGAGAAGUGGAGACGGAAACCUUCGGGCGGAAGACUUUAUUUCGAGUGGCGGACGGGUGAGUAACGCGUGGGUAACCUGCCUCAUACAGGGGGAUAACAGUUGGAAACGACUGUUAAUACCGCAUAAGACCACAGCACCGCAUGGUGCGGUGGUAAAAACUCCGGUGGUAUGAGAUGGACCCGCGUUCGAUUAGCCAGUUGGCGGGGUAACGGCCCACCAAAGCGACGAUCGAUAGCCGAUCUGAGAGGAUGACCGGCCACAUUGGGACUGAGACACGGCCCAAACUCCUACGGGAGGCAGCAGUGGGGAAUAUUGCACAAUGGGGGAAACCCUGAUGCAGCGACGCCGCGUGAGUGAAGAAGUAUUUCGGUAUGUAAAGCUCUAUCAGCAGGGAAGAAAAUGACGGUACCUGAGUAAGAAGCCCCGGCUAACUACGUG